AUGUGAAAUCCCGGGGCUCNNCCCCGGNAACUGCAUCUGAUACUGCCGUGCUAGAGUAAUGGAGAGGUAGCCGGAAUUAUCGGUGUAGCAGUGAAAUGCGUAGAUAUCGAUAGGAACACUCGUGGCGAAAGCGAGCUACUGGACAUUUACUGACGCUGAGGCUCGAAGGCUAGGGGAGCGAAAGGGAUUAGAUACCCCUGUAGUCCUAGCAGUAAACGGUGCACGCUUGGUGUGAGGGGAAUCGACCCCCCUUGUGCCGGAGCUAACGCGUUAAGCGUGCCGCCUGGGAAGUACGGUCGCAAGACUAAAACUCAAAGAAAUUGACGGGGACCCGCACAAGCGGUGGAGUAUGUGGCUUAAUUCGAUGCAACGCGAAGAACCUUACCAAGGCUUGACAUGCAUCUCUAAACACGUGAAAGCGUGUGACCCUUCGGGGAAUUUGCACAGGUGCUGCAUGGCCGUCGUCAGCUCGUGUCGUGAGAUGUUGGGUUAAGUCCCGCAACGAGCGCAACCCUUGUGAUUAGUUGCCAGCACGUAAUGGUGGGGACUCUAGUCAGACUGCCCAGAUCAACUGGGAGGAAGGUGGGGACGACGUCAGGUCAGUAUGGCCCUUACGCCUUGGGCUGCACACGUACUACAAUGCCCAGCACAAUGAGAACCGAUACCGCGAGGUGGAGGAAAUCUGUAAAACUGGGCCCAGUUCGGAUUGGAGACUGCAACUCGCCUCCAUGAAGUUGGAAUCGCUAGUAAUGGGGCAUCAUCUACGGCCCCGUGAAUACGUUCCCGGGUCUUGUACACACCGCCCGUCACAUCAUGGAAGCUGGUCGCACCCGAAGUGCUCGCGCCAACCGCAAGGAGGUAGAGCCCUAAGGUAAGGCUGGUAACUGGGAUGAAGUCGUAACAAGGUAACCAAGGGCGAA
rnacentral:rRNA from 1 species